UACGAAGGGGGCGAGCGUUGUUCGGAAUUACUGGGCGUAAAGGGUGCGUAGGCGGCUUUGCAAGUUGGGUGUGAAAGCCCUCGGCUCAACCGAGGAAUUGCGCUCAAUACUGCCGAGCUAGAGAGAGACAGAGGUAAGCGGAACUAAUGGUGGAGCGGUGAAAUGCGUUGAUAUCAUUAGGAACACCGGUGGCGAAGGCGGCUUACUGGGUCUUUUCUGACGCUGAGGCACGAAAGCCAGGGGAGCGAACGGGG
rnacentral:rRNA from 1 species